UAGCCAAGUCUGGAAGGGAUAAACGCUGAAGGCAUCUAAGCGUGAAGCCCACCCCAAGAUGAGAUAUCCCGUCCAUAAGGACAUAAGAUCCCUCAGAGAGUAUGAGGUAGAUAGGGCAGAGGUGUAAGCAGAGUAAUCUGUUCAGCUGACUGUCACUAAUAGAUCGAAGGCUUGAUCAA
rnacentral:rRNA from 1 species